GACGAACGCUGGCGGCGUGCUUAACACAUGCAAGUCGAGCGAUGAAGCUCCUUCGGGAGUGGAUUAGCGGCGGACGGGCGAGUAACACGUGGGUAACCUGCCUCAUAGAGGGGAAUAGCCUUCCGAAAGGAAGAUUAAUACCGCAUAAGAUUGUAGCGUCGCAUGAAGCAGCAAUUAAAGGAGCAAUCCGCUAUGAGAUGGACCCGCGUCGCAUUAGCUAGUUGGUGAGGUAACGGCUCACCAAGGCGACGAUGCGUAGCCGACCUGAGAGGGUGAUCGGCCACAUUGGGACUGAGACACGGCCCAGACUCCUACGGGAGGCAGCAGUGGGGAAUAUUGCACAAUGGGGGAAACCCUGAUGCAGCAACGCCGCGUGAGUGAUGACGGUCUUCGGAUUGUAAAACUCUGUCUUCAGGGACGAUAAUGACGGUACCUGAGGAGGAAGCCACGGCUAACUACGUGCCAGCCGCCGCAGUAA
rnacentral:rRNA from 1 species